rfam:Tupaia chinensis contig173172, whole genome shotgun sequence.
CCAAAGGCUCUUUUCAGAGCCACUCACAUUUUCCGGAAAAAGCUG